GCAUAUCAAUAAGCGGAAGGAAAAAGAAACCAACAGGGAUUGCCCCAGUAACGGCGAGUGAAGCGGCAACAGCUCAAAUUUGAAAUCUGGCCCCCCCGGGCCCGAGUUGUAAUUUGUAGAGGAUGCUUUUGGUGCGGCGCCGCCCGAGUUUCCCUGGAACGGGACGCCAUAGAGGGUGAGAGCCCCGUCUGGCUGGCCGCCAAGCCUCUGUAAAGCUCCUUCGACGAGUCGAGUAGUUUGGGAAUGCUGCUCAAAAUGGGAGGUAUAUGUCUUCUAAAGCUAAAUAUUGGCCAGAGACCGAUAGCGCACAAGUAGAGUGAUCGAAAGAUGAAAAGCACUUUGAAAAGAGGGUUAAACAGUACGUGAAAUUGUUGAAAGGGAAGCGCUCGUGACCAGACUUGGGCUUGGCGGAUCAUCCGGCGUUCUCGCCGGUGCACUCUGCCUCGUCCAGGCCAGCAUCAGUUCGCCGCGGGGGAAAAAGGCGUCGGGAACGUGGCUCCUCCGGGAGUGUUAUAGCCCGUCGCGCAAUACCCUGGGGCGGACUGAGGUUCGCGCAUCUGCAAGGAUGCUGGCGUAAUGGUCAUCAGCGACCCGUCUUGAAACACGGACCAAGGAGUCGUCUUCGUAUGCGAGUGUUCGGGUGUCAAACCCCUACGCGUAAUGAAAGUGAACGCAGGUGAGAGCUUCGGCGCAUCAUCGACCGAUCCUGAUGUUCUCGGAUGGAUUUGAGUAAGAGCAUACGGGGCCGGACCCGAAAGAAGGUGAACUAUGCCUGUAUAGGGUGAAGCCAGAGGAAACUCUGGUGGAGGCUCGCAGCGGUUCUGACGUGCAAAUCGAUCGUCAAAUAUGGGCAUGGGGGGCGAAAGACUAAUCGAAACCUUACUAGUAGCUGGGUUUCAGCUGAGU
rnacentral:rRNA from 1 species